UAAGGAAUAUUGGUCAAUGGACGCAAGUCUGAACCAGCUAUGCCGCGUGCAGGAUGAAGGCCUUUGGGUCGUAAACUGCUUUUAUAUGAGAAAAAUAAAUCCCUGCGGGGAUGAAUGAUGGUAUCAUAUGAAUAAGCACCGGCUAACUCCGUGCCAGCAGCCGCGGUAAGACGGAGGGUGCAAGCGUUAUCCGGAUUUACUGGGUUUAAAGGGUACGUAGGCGGCGUUAUAAGUCAGUGAUGAAAGCCAAUAGCUCAACUAUUGAAGUGUCAUUGAUACUGUAAUGCUUGAGUAUAGUCGAGGUGGGCGGAAUUUUACAUGUAGCGGUGAAAUGCAUAGAUAUGUAAAAGAACACCAAUAACGAAGGUAGCUCACUAGGCUAUUACUGACGCUGAGGUACGAAAGCGUGGGUAGCGAACAGGAUUAGAUACCCCCGUAGUCC
rnacentral:rRNA from 1 species